rnacentral:rRNA from 1 species
CUUAAAUUGAAGAGUUUGAUCAUGGCUCAGAUUGAACGCUGGCGGCAGGCCUAACACAUGCAAGUCGAGCGGAAACGAGUUGUCUGAACCUUCGGGG